GGCCGGCUGGCCUAAUGGUUAAGGCGUCAGUUUCCGGAUUUGGGUCACGUGAUUCCCAGAAAUCAGCUGAAGAUUCGGGGUUCGAAUCCCCGGUUGGUCG
rfam:Postia placenta Mad-698-R POSPLscaffold_81_Cont4095, whole genome shotgun sequence.